UAAAGUUUGAAGAUCAUAAUUUCCAUGAAGCAUAAUGUUGGCAUCAAAAUACCAUUUCCGGAUUUAUUUCUAUCCCCAGGGGUUUCUAAAUCCCCCCGUCCCUCCCCCGGGCGAUGGCAGGACCUGUAGAGACAACAGACAUGCUCACAAGAGAGCAAGAUGCCUCUCCACUGGUUUUUCAGACCGCUGACCCUCUGAUGACCUGGCAUGGUGUGAAACAGACCACAUACUGUAGGAGUGGCUGCAAACCCAUGUGCUCUUUUCUCCCCGUCCAUUCUCUGGCUGACAGUGAGGGCUGAGGCAGCCAGGAAGGUUGUGAGUGGAGCCAUUGUACCCAGAGGUCAGAGAGAGUCAGAGAUACACAAUGCCAGGGUCAGAGUCACUGCGGUGAUGGUCCGACCACAUGGCAGCACCGUCCUACUCAGCCAGCGAAACCACAGCUGGGAUAAGAAAGAUUCAGGGAGAGAGAGAGGGAUGAAGAAGAGAGAGGGUGCAGAGAGCAAAGG